rnacentral:rRNA from 1 species
UACGAAGGGGGCGAGCGUUGUUCGGAUUUACUGGGCGUAAAGGGCGCGCAGGCGGCUCAUUUUGUCAGGCGUGAAAGCCCCGGGCUUAACCUGGGAACUGCGUUUGAUACGGAUGGGCUAGAGUUCGGGAGAGGAGAGUGGAAUUCCUGGUGUAGCGGUGAAAUGCGCAGAUAUCAGGAGGAACACCCGUGGCGAAAGCGGCUCUCUGGGACGGUACUGACGCUGAGACGCGAAAGCGUGGGGAGCAAACAGG